rnacentral:rRNA from 1 species
CCUACGGGAGGCAGCAGUGGGGAAUAUUGCACAAUGGGGGAAACCCUGAUGCAGCGACGCCGCGUGAGUGAAGAAGUAUUUCGGUAUGUAAAGCUCUAUCAGCAGGGAAGAAAAUGACGGUACCGGAUUAAGAAGCCCCGGCUAACUACGUGCCAGCAGCCGCGGUAAUACGUAGGGGGCAAGCGUUAUCCGGAUUUACUGGGUGUAAAGGGAGCGUAGACCGCAGCACAAGUCUUGGGUGAAAUGGCGGGGCUUAACCCCGGAACUGCUUUGGAAACUGUGCAGCUAGAGUGCAGGAGAGGUAAGUGGAAUUCCUAGUGGAGCGGGGAAAUGCGUAGAUAUUAGGUGGAACACCAGUGGCGAAGGCGGCUUACUGGACUGUAACUGACGUUGAGGCUCGAAAGCGUGGGGAGCAAACAGGAUUAGAUACCCUAGUAGUC